CCCCUCGCAGGGUGGCACCUGGAGAGUUUCUAUACUCUACCAGCCUCAACUACAGGAGGGAGAGUCAAGCAGAGGCAUAUUUAUUCCAUUCCUAGCUUGGGCAAGGGCUAGCGAGUGGAAGGCAAUCUGCUAAAAGU